GUGUCAGCCGCCGCGGUAAGACGAACCGAGCGAACGUUAUUCGGAAUCACUGGGCUUAAAGGGUGCGUAGGCGGGCUGUCAAGUCUGGGGUGAAAUCCCGCGGCUCAACCGCGGAACUGCCUUAGAUACUGAUGGCCUCGAGGAAGGUAGGGGCAUGCGGAACUGUAGGUGGAGCGGUGAAAUGCGUUGAUAUCUACAGGAACUCCGGUGGCGAAAGCGGCGUGCUGGACCUUUUCUGACGCUGAGGCACGAAAGCUAGGGGAGCAAACGGGAUUAGAAACCCUGGUAGUCC
rnacentral:rRNA from 1 species